rnacentral:rRNA from 1 species
UGGGGAAUCUUGCACAAUGGGGGCAACCCUGAUGCAGCGACGCCGCGUGAGCGAUGAAGCCCUUCGGGGUGUAAAGCUCUUUCGGCCGGAACGAUGAUGACGGUACCGGCAGAAGAAGCUGCGGCUAACUACGUGCCAGCAGCCGCGGUAAUACGUAGGCAGCGAGCGUUGUUCGGAGUUACUGGGCGUAAAGAGUGCGUAGGCGGUGCUCUAAGUUUGGUGUGAAAUCUCCCGGCUCAACUGGGAGGGUGCGCCGAAAACUGGAGUGCUCGAGUGUGGGAGAGGUAAGCGGAAUUCCUGGUGUAGCGGUGAAAUGCGUAGAUAUCAGGAGGAACACCUGCGGUGUAGACGGCUUACUGGACCAUGACUGACGCUGAGGCACGAAAGCGUGGGUAGCAAACA